rnacentral:lncRNA from 1 species
UUACCGUACCUCAUUCUUUACCAAAUGCCGUCUCUGAAUCCCUUUCCCUCCAAAUUCACUCUGCAACCCCUUAUGAACUCUAGCCGCCGCUCUCUAACCCCACCCUAAUCCACCCUAAUACCUUCCUAAUCCAUGCCCCUCAUGGUCAUUUGAGACAUGUAUCAGCCUCCCAUGGCUCUUGGGUGUUUGUUUCUGUGGUUUCAUGGCCAGUCUUCGAAGGAAUAUGGUCCAGUCCUUGCUCGACUUCAGUUCAUGGCCUUUCUCCGGCCAUUCAUGACCUUUCAAGGUAGAUCCUUGACUUUCCUGGUUAGAUUGGAAACUUUCAAGGUCUUUCUCACUUUUUCUAGGUUUUUCGAAACCCUAAUCUUAAGAUCUUUUGAUUUUUGUUUAGAUCUACUUUAGAUCUGUACUUGCUAUGAAUGCUUUAAGUGUUUUUCUCGAAAGUUCUUCAGCUUUUCUUUCAAAACGACUUUUUGUUAAGGUUUUCCUUUGUGUUUUUCAAAAGAUCUCUUCUCUGAUUCUUGAUGUUGUUUGUGAUUUUGCUAUGUUUUGUUCAUGUUGUUCUUCUAUCUGAGUCAGCAUGUUAAAACCCUAGUUCCCUUUUUGUCUCAUCCGAGUUCUGAACUGCAUGUUUAAAUGUGUACUGGUUUGAUUAAGUUCUUCGUUCUUGUUUGACUUAUUUGAUUCUGAGUUUUACCAUCUUUUAAACCUGUUUAUUGUGGAAAACUCUAGGUCUUUUGGUUUGAGACUUUUUGUUUGAAAGUAUACUUGACUUGAUUAAAGAUUCCUUGUUUCAGACCCUCUCUUCUUUAUGUGACUUAUCUAAUUCCGAGUUUUACUCGACUAUGGUUGAAAUCCUAAUUUCUCAAAAGGUUUCCUCACUUGUUGCUGUGAGACCUUUAUUUGUUUCCGAUUCUCUUUACUUGUUGCUAUGAUUUCUUCACUGUUGAUUCUAUGUGACUACCUAUCAUAUUUGACUACUAUGCUUCGAAUAUUUUUCUUACUACUGAAUCCUAUGCUUAUUUUUGCUACUCUUGCAUGAUGUUUCUUCUGCCAAUGUGCUUGGCCUUGCAUGUCUGAUGCUUCUGUUCACUCUAUUUAAAAAUUGAUUGAUCUUCCUUGAUUGAUCUUGAUAUUAAGACUGAUUGCAAAAAAGAUUUCUUACGAGCCCUAAUUUCUACUCAUCUGUUUAAAGUUAAUUGAUUCCUUUCCUUUACUAUGAUAUUUUACCUUACUGAAUCUUUUCCAAAAUAAGCAUAUUUUUGUAUCUAGACUCGAUUGUUUACUUUAUGCUUUUACUACCCCUUUAUGGCAAUAAUCAGUUUGUCUCCAAACUGAUUUUCUUUCCUUAAUUGGACCUGCUACUACGCGUUAAACAAUGAUUCCUUAAUUAAAGGGGAAUCACUUGGGUUAAUUGAUUCUGAAUUGUGAUUAUUUCCAUGUUUGUGUUAAUACUUUGCUUAUUACCUUAUUCUUCACCUGUUUUCAAAACUAUAAAUACCCACCCUCUUUUCUUUCAAACACACGAGCCAUCUGAGUUCAGAACACACACUUCACUCAAAACUCUCUAUUACUACUUGUGCUACUACUUUGUCUAGCCGGCUGAAAGCCAAGGUUAGGCUGUGGAAAUUUGCUUACUUUUUCUUUCUGCACUUUGCUUCUUAUUGGUAUGUCCUAGUUAAUCUUCAAGCGUCAACAACAACAUAUUUCCUUAGCUGUUUCAGUUUCCUUCACUCUUGCCUACUUUUGCUUAUGUUUAUGCAAUCAAGUUAUAUUAAUAAGCAUGUUGUAAUCUGUUCCCCCCUUUCUAAAUUAAUGUUUUCCCUUAUGCAUGUACUAUGUUAGUCACUUGUUAUAUGAUUUGCUGACUUAUGAAUCCCAAACCCCCAUAUCCCCCUAUGUGCUUGUGUUCUCUGGCUGGUUUAUGGGCAUGCCAGCAUCAUCUAUUGUUGUGCAUGUCCCAAACCUGAUCCCUUUUGUGCAAUUACUGAUUCUCUGUAAUUUAAGUUUUACUACUAUUGUUUUCAAAUCACCCUUACCCCUUACUAUUCUCAACCCAGUUUUAAAUAAAUCUCUAUUUUUGCACUUCCGCUAUACUCUUAGAACAUAAGUUCUGCCCCCCUUGUGUGAGCCUUGUAUUGGGACCCUUGAGCUCCCUCUAAACUUGGACACAUAAGGGUUGGCCCUUCCACACUGCACUCAUAUCUAUCUGGUUAUGUAAACCUGGGUGUAAGCACUACCCGGGGUCCCUUGAGACCCUUAGGGAACUUUGACACACCCAGGUCUGAGAAAUGCUUUGAAAAAAGUGGUACUUGAGGUGGUUUAUUCCAUAACUCAGAGAGAAAGUCAAGAAUCAGUCUUCCUAUGGUUGUAACUUCCAUUUUUGCACUUUUCUAAUGUAAUUCAGUAUUUGGUCUGUAAUAAUUUGUAACAAAUAUUAGGGUUGGCUAGUGAAGAGGGGAUGUGUAAUUAUGCAUGUUUAGCUAUUAGAAGGGUAGAGAACAUGCCUAUAGGAUCUGUUUAUUUAAAUUCUGCAUAUUUUAAUUCUACAUUUAGAUAACAUGCCUAUAGGACAUGUUUUAAAUUUUGCAUGUUUUAUUACCACACUUAGACACCAUUCCUAUAGGAGCUAAACAACUAUAAUCAGACAUCAUGUUUAUAAGGUUAAAAUAUGUAUUUUUCAUAGAAAUCAUGCCUAUAGGAAUUUCAAGUAAAUCCUGUCUGCUUCGUUUCAAGUUCAACUAGAUAUCAUGUCUAUAGGAAUUAAAAAGAAAAAUCAGCAAUAAUAGAGAUCAUGCCUAUAGGAUCUAAAAUCAGUCUUGUUUAAAAUCAGUUGACUCUUACUAUUCUGAAUCAGUCUUAACAACCUACUCCUUUUAUUAAUACGGUUUAGAAAGCAUGCCUAUAGGAUCCCAAAUCGCUCGUUUAAAACUGCCACUGCUUUGCUACACUCCUAAUUAGUAAUAGACAUCAUGUUUAUAGGAUCUCACCAAACACACUUAGGCAAGCCUUAGGUGAUAACAACAAAACUGAAUCCUCCUUUGUUAAUUAGUAACUGCUACAACUAGCAGGCAGACCUGAUUCAGACUUCUUAUCCGAGUUAUGUAAUAAUCUGGUCUACUUCAAUAACUAAAACUCCCCUAUUUUAGUAUUUUAAAUUCUGACCCUAAAUGUGUUUGAGUCAUGCUAUUUAUGUGCUUUACUUGAGGAGGUAUAUAUGAGCCUCUUAGUUGCUUAAUGUUUCCCCUAAUAUGCAGUCCUAUGUGUUUUGAAUGUCGCCUUAGUCUUUUUACCUUUAAAACCUAAGAGUCAGCCUAAAAUCCUCCCUCUUACAGGAAUAGUAGUCCUAAAUUCCUUCGGGACUGAUAGGAAUGAGACGGGUAAUAGCAUGCAAUAGAGGUCGAGACCAAUCCGUGCUUUAAUACCUUAACGGGGUAGAAAUGGUAGAUAUGGAUAUGAUGACCGGUGCGCUAAUACCACAUGUAUCCCCUCUUCUGAGGAGUGUCAUACCGGGUAUCACAUUGAUGUGAUCCAUACUAUAAAUAAACCUAGGACCCCCCUUCCUUUUUUUUUAUAUUCUCAAGUAUUUAUAGAAUUGUGACUUCUUUUUUCAAAAUUCGCCUUUAAUAAUUUUUCUUUCAAACUCUUAUGUGUUUAAACCUAAAUCCCCUACUACUUGAGCCUAUACUUGUCUAUAUGCUAAUUGUACAAAAUUCACAAAAACUGUAUGGCCGGGAACCACACUAGUGGAUCUUGAGGUGCCUAACACCUUCCCCUUAGGAUAAUUUCAAGCCCUUACCCUAUCUCUAGUUAUCAAACUAACUUAGAAGUAAAUCUUACUGGUGUCCUAAUGCACCUUAAAUCAUUAGGUGACGACUCUUCAAAUGCAAAAUCCAGUUCCCAAAAGGAAUGAGUUGUCCCAACCAAAUGUCAUAAACCCGAUUUUUCGAUGCAAAGAGGGAAAAAGGGGGCGCGACACCAGUUUUUACCCUAUGCGAUCGCGUGUUACAUAAUGCAAUCGCAUAAGCUUAAGUGUAUGAACCAAUGCGAAUGAGUAUGAAUACAUGCGAAUGCAUAAAGGAAAGCCCAGUCAUCGGCUGGUCAAUAGACUUGUGCGAACGUAGAGGACCAUAUGCGAUCGCAUACCUAGGAGAAUUUAUUCUCUGCGAUCGCGGUUGCACUGUUGCUAACGCAUAAAGUAAAUCAUGGGCAGUUCUGAGCAGUUUUGGAAUUUCACACCGUCGUCCCCCAAGCCAUUUAAUACACACCCUAGCAGAUAUUUUGGGGGAGCUUUUGGCAUAUUUUCAGUUCAAAAUACUAGAGAAGAACAUGUUUUGGAAGCUAGGGUUUGCACACACACUUGGUUUUGAAGAUUUGAAGCUUGUGGUUAAGAUUUUCUUACUCCUUUGUACUUAUUUCUUCAUUUCCUUACUUUGUAUUACAUAUCUAAGUGUGUAGUAUUUUAUUCAACACUUGAAUCUUGUAUAUGGAAAUAUUUAUGUUAAAGUGUGGAUUAAAUACCUUGUUGUGCUUAUGUAUUGAAUGAUUUUUAUCUCUUUUUGAAGUGAGUUAUUGUUUCUUUAAUUAUUCUUAUUUUUUAAUGUUUCCAAAGGGAUUAGCUAACCCUAGGACUCUCCCAUUAACUCCGAAUUAAUUUUGGGAAAGAUUAUUUGGGGUUGGGAAAGAUUAAUUAACAAGAACUUGAGGCGUUAACCCUCAUUUUAUUGAUUCUACAUAGGGAUAGGAUUGAACUACUUGUAGCCAUUCCGGGUGUGCUUAGUCUCUUAAUUGUUUUAGGGAUAAUUCAAUUAGUAAGCCUUGUUAGUCUUUGGAAGAAGCUAAUUAAAAUUAUUACCCGUGGCUAAUUAACAUAAACUCGUUCAUAUUUAUAAAAUCGUGAAAUACAUUGGAUCGUUAUUUGAGUGUAUUUCACGAUGCAUUCAUCCUUGUAGUCAUUGAUUACAUUGGAUCGUUAUUUGAGUGUAUUUCCCGAUGCAUUCAUCCUUGUAGUCAUUGAUCAUUUUACUUGUCUUCUAGGUUAGUUUACAUUUUUGCAUUUAGGUAUAAAUAUUUUCUCAAACCAAUUCUAAGUGUUUGGCAUUGCAUAACAUGUGAUAGUUCUCUUACAUUCUUAAUCGCCUACAUAUUGUUCUCUGUGGGAUUCGACUUCGACUCAUAGUUGGGUAAAUUAUAUUACAUGUGACUGUGUCCAUUUACUUUUUAGCAGUGGAUUUGGACGUCAACAUG